AGCGAACGCUGGCGGCAGGCUUAACACAUGCAAGUCGAGCGGGCAUCUUCGGAUGUCAUCGGCAGACGGGUUGGUAACACGGUGGAACGUACCCGUCUGUUCGGAACAACUCUGGGAAACUGGUGCUAAUACCUGAGACGCCCUUAUGGGGGGAGGUUUACUGCCGAAGUAUCGGCCCGCGUCUGAUUAGCGAGUUGGUGGGGUAACCGCCUACCAAGGCGACGAUCAGUAUCUGGUCUGAGAAGAUGCUCAGCCACACUGGGACUGAGACCCGGACCAGACUCCUACGGGAGGCAGCAGUGGGGAACAUUAGACAAUGAGCGCAAGUCUGACCAAGCCAUGCCGCGUGAGUGAUGAAGGCCUUAGGGUUGCACAGCUCCCUUGUACGGGACGAUAAUGACGGUAACGGAAGAAUAAGCCCCGGCUAACUUCGUG
rnacentral:rRNA from 1 species